rnacentral:lncRNA from 1 species
AAAGAUUCUUCUCUCUACAUCACUGACAAAACAAUUUGAACUUUUGGCUCUUGACUUGGAAGUAUCAAAAGCUCUCCAUAUCACUGUCAUUGGUUGCUACAGACCACCUUCAGCUGUCAGUGACGCUUUACCAUCUUUAAUGCAGCUUUUGUCCAGUCUUAACUAUAGUGAAAGGGUCAUUGUGGGUGACCUUAACUGGAACUGGCUGCUACCAGCAUCAGAGGACUUUAAAAAAUACUGCAAUUCCUUAAAUCUCUUUCAGAUUGUUGGUAGUCCCACUAGAACCAAUCUGAAAUCUCCUGAAAAAUCCUCCUUAAUUGAUCUUAUCCUUACAAAUACUCCUCAUAAAUACACCACUGCUUCUGUAUUUGCAAAUGACAUCAGUGACCACUGUGUUAUUGCUACAGUAAGGAAUACAAAAGUCCCUAAGACAAAACCCUGUGUCAUCAUAAAGCGUGAUAUGAAACAUUUUGUGGAGCAAGGUUUCUUUCACGACCUGUUUCUCUUCGAUUGGGAGAAAAUCAAUCUCAUAUCCGAUGUUGAAAAUGCCUGGAAAUUCUUUUAUGAUGGUUUUAUUAUUUUUGAUAGGCACGCCCCCUUAAGAAAGUACAGAGUAAAAGGCACAGAUAAUGCAUGGUUCACAUCAGAUCUCUCUGAUUUACUUCACGAGCGCAAUGUGGCAUGGUCAAAAGCCAGGAGUACAGGUCUUGGGUCGGAUUGGCUGCUCUUCAGGCAGCUGCGAAAUGCAUGCACUGUUAAAAUCAGAAAAGCCAAAUCUGAUUAUUUCCAAACUGAAACCGCAAAUAACUUAAAUAAUCCCCUUAAAUUCUGGAAAACUAUUAAAUCAAUAGCUGGAAAUAAAAAUGUGAUAGAGCUUCCACCUUGUAUUGUCAAAGACUCUCUUCAAAUCUCUGACAAGGCAGAAAUGCUUGGUUGUUUUAAUGAACAUUUUAUUGCCUCUGGUUCCUUGUUUGAAUCUCAGAACAUACCUCAAGGAGCCCCUGCUCACUCUGAAGGUCGUGUCUGGCCGGGUCAAACCUUUACUUUUAAUCCAGUAACAAUCUCAGAGGUGCAUAAAGCCCUUAAAAGUUUAGACACAAGAAAAUCAGCAGGUCCGGAUAACCUGGAGCCAUACUUUUUAAAGUUAGCAGCUGAUUUCCUCGCCUCGCCCCUGGCCUAUCUUUUCAAUCUAUCCCUGGAGACAAACGAAAUUCCCCUUAUUUGGAAAUCUGUUUUUGUUCUCCCACUGUUGAAAGGGGGUGACCCCACUCUCC